GUUAAGGAUAAUAGCGAAUGCGCCGCUCAGGCUACAGGUUGAGGUUGGUGGCGAGCACCGGACAAACCUGCAUCCGCGCGCGAGCGAGCGUGACGCCGCAGCUCCGUUGCCAGCGAGCCGCGAUGGCAACUGGUAGGCGGAGCAGCGGAGAGCGGCCAAGUCAGCGUAGGGCGAAGACUACCCGACUUGGCUACCGGCCGCGCCGUCGGCGUACAGCAGUUGAGCAGGGAGCGGUGACCGCACGCGCUCGUAGCAGCAAGUGUUCGUCGUCGUUGCACGGCAGCAGCGGCAGCAGCAGUCGACGACGACGACGACGACGAUGCCGUUCGCGUUGCUGCGGCGGCGGCGGGCACCGCUCGACCGACGACGGCGGCAAACGUUGCUGACACACUGCUACCGGUCAGGCGAGCUGCCGGUAGCGGCGUCUUUGCCGUUCGUCAACUAGCGGUUCGCCGCGUGGCUCCACCCGUACGUCUCCUCGAUGUU
rnacentral:misc_RNA from 1 species